CNCCUGUGUCAUGAGAGGCCUUAGGGAG
rnacentral:piRNA from 1 species